rnacentral:rRNA from 1 species
UACGUAGGGGGCGAGCGUUGUCCGGAUUUAUUGGGCGUAAAGAGCGUGUAGGCGGCCAGGUAGGUCCGUUGUGAAAACUCGAGGCUCAACCUCGAGACGUCGAUGGAAACCAUCUGGCUAGAGUCCGGAGGAGGAGAGUGGAAUUCCUGGUGUAGCGGUGAAAUGCGCAGAUAUCAGGAAGAACACCUAUGGCGAAGGCAGCUCUCUGGGACGGUACUGACGCUGAGACGCGAAAGCGUGGGGAGCGAACAGG